rnacentral:rRNA from 1 species
UACAGAGGUCUCAAGCGUUGUUCGGAUUCAUUGGGCGUAAAGCGCGCGUAGGCGGCUCGGAAAGUCGGGCGUGAAAUGCCGGGGCUCAACCCCGGGACUGCGUCCGAUACUUCCGAGCUGGAGGUAGGUAGGGGAGAUCGGAAUUCCUGGUGUAGCGGUGAAAUGCGUAGAUAUCUGGAGGAACACCGGUGGCGAAGGCGGCAUCCUGGACCGAGAUUGACGCUGAUGCGCGAAAGCCAGGGGAGCAAACGGG